UCAAGGAUACCAUUUGAAAGGAUACUGACAGAAGUUAACCAUCUUGUGUUCUGUAAAGUUGCUUAUUAGUAUUUUAAAUUGCAGUAAAAGGUGCAAAAAGAAGCUUGGAGGGUUAGACAAAGUUAAGAUCUUUAUUUUAUGAACUUACAAAGUAAGAUGGUUGGCAGAAGUUUCUUGAAAGGGGGUCAACUUUGGGAAUACAAAAGUUCUGAUAUUUUCAAGGGCAGAAAAUCAAUAGACUUAUCUUGCAGGAUUUGCUUAGCUCUGAAAAUCUUGUGAUGUGUUGCAGGUUUGGACAAGUUGUGAAUCAUCGUAAGGAUUUGAUACAUAUUAACACUUUUGUUCUUCCUUUUAUUGAGUUAUUUUAGUUAGUAAAAAUGAUUUGAUACUGUUUCGUGCAA